rnacentral:rRNA from 1 species
AUAAGCGGAGGAAAAGAAACUAACAAGGAUUCCCCUAGUAACUGCGAGUGAAGCGGGAAAAGCUCAAAUUUAAAAUCUGGCGGUCUCUGAUCGUCCGAGUUGUAGUCUGGAGAAGCGUUUUCCGCGUUGGACCGUGUACAAGUUUCCUGGAACGGAGCGUCAUAGAGGGUGAGAAUCCCGUCUUUGACACGGACCCCAAUGCUUUGUGAUGCGCUCUCAAAGAGUCGAGUUGUUUGGGAAUGCAGCUCAAAAUGGGUGGUGAAUUCCAUCUAAAGCUAAAUAUUGGCGAGAGACCGAUAGCGAACAAGUACCGUGAGGGAAAGAUGAAAAGCACUUUGGAAAGAGAGUUAAACAGUACGUGAAAUUGUUGAAAGGGAAACGCUUGAAGUCAGUCGCGUUGGCCGGGACUCAGCCUUGCAUCAGCAUGGUGUACUUUCCGGUCGACGGGCCAGCAUCAGUUUCGACCGCGAGAUAAAGGCAGAGGGAAUGUGGCUCUUUCGGGAGUGUUAUAGCCCUUCGUCGGAUGUCGUGGUUGGGACUGAGGAACUCAGCACGCCUUUAUGGCCGGGGUUCGCCCACGUACGUGCUUAGGAUGCUGGCGUAAUGGCUUUAAACGACCCGUCUUGAAACACGGACCAAGGAGUCUAACAUGCCUGCGAGUGUUCGGGUGGAAAACCCGUGCGCGUAAUGAAAGUGAAAGUUGGGAUCCCUGUCGUGGGGUGCACCGACGCCCGGACCAGACCUUUUGUGACGGAUCUGCGGUAGAGCAUGUAUGUUGGGACCCGAAAGAUGGUGAACUAUGCCUGAAUAGGGUGAAGCCAGAGGAAACUCUGGUGGAGGCUCGUAGCGAUUCUGACGUGCAAAUCGAUCGUCAAAUUUGGGUAUAGGGGCGAAAGACUAAUCGAACCAUCUAGUAGCUGGUUCCU